UCUUCCUUUCAACUGGCCCCCUGGUGCUGGCAGGAACCCUGGAUGGAGGAAGGCUGGUGACUGGGUACAGAGAACCCUAUUGGGAGUUCUGGCUCCCCACCGUCCACCAUUACUCCUGCAGGUUCUAAGACCAGCACCCACCUUCUCUGGGCCUUUAUUUUUGCUUCCCUCUCAGUAAGAGGGAGGGAGGGUGAGGACUGAGGGAGGGAGGGUUAGCUGCUUUCUAGUCCUCCACUUAAAGGAUUUCUUAAAAUGCACGAGUCUGGCAGAGGUAAGCCACAAAGUCACUAACACUUUAGCAAGAAUGAGUUGUCUUGGGAGGCGAACAAUUUAGAAAAGGUGGAGGUGGUGGAAAGCAAAGUUAAGUGAGCAUGGUACUUGGAAAGUAACUCAGAGAUGACCCUACAUUUUUGAAUUCUGUGUUGAAGGCUGGAAGGCGUGGAUCCCUGGGAAGAGAUGGGAAGCCAGAGAUCUUUCAGUUCCCCUAGCACCCCGGAGUCCCAAAGACACUGCUCUGUCCCAGUACUUAAGCACAAUUCUACUGACUAUCUCAUCCAACAUACCCCAGACCCCCAACAUCAUGUCCCCAACACAGUAACAUUUACACUGUCAUCUCCACUCUCCGCAUUUUAUUUAGUCUUCUCUGGCCUGCAGUUCCCGCGUGCAAAGGGCCUUCCUCCAUGUCGUCGUCUGGCUUCAGAAAAUUCCCCAUCCUUCAAAAGCCCUGAUGAAGCGGCCCCCAAAAGGGCCAGCUCAGAUCCCACCCCAGGGACCAGGAAAUCAGACUCCUCUCCCUGAGCCCCUUAAAAACUUUAUCCACACCUUUUCCCCAGCACUUGGCAUAUCCUAUCUUGGAUCAGGUUUGGCUCCUCGGUUGACUGAGCGCUCCCUGAGAGCAGGAACUGGGCCUCCUCCGCCUCUCUAACCCAACCACCCAGCAGGGAGCCUGGCACACAGUGGGUGCUGGAGAAAUGCUGGAAGAAGGGGAACGCGGAGUCGGGAGCCAUCUAUCUCAAUUACGGCUGGGCCUCUGCUUCUUUGCCCAUCUAAGAACACAACUCUAGAGAACUGGGCCAUCAGACACUUUUCUUCGGGGAAUAACACUGGAUUAAAAGGCAGUUCAAGGGGCCGGCCCCGUGGCCGAGAGAUUAAGUUCACGCACUCCACUUCGGCAGCCCAGAGUUUCGCCGGUUUGGAUCCUGGGUGUGGACAUGGCACCGCUCAUCAAGCCAUGCUGAGGGGGCACCCCGCAUGCCACAACUAGAAGGACCCACAACUAAAAAUACACAACUAUGUACCGGGGGAUUUUGGGAGAAAAAUGAAAAAUAAAAUAAAAUAAAAUAAAGACAGUUCAAGGCAUGCCAAGAGGAAUUGUGAUUAUCUGCUCUAGGAGCAUUGUCCACACCAUGAAUUAUUAUGCACCCUGGACCUGUCUCUUUCGAGUCACUGACAAGUGGAGGAGACACCUAGUUUAAAACUCUAGCUUAGCCUCUGACCAGUGAAAACAUGUAGACCAUGUCGAAUUAGCAACAAAUACCUCCCCCUCUCCACUGGGAGAGGACUGGGUGGCAGAAGCAGAAGUUUCCUUUCAACACACCACAGUUCCCACCCCAGAGAAAUGACAACAGCAGACGUUGGGCCAGGGGGAUAUAUAUUCAGACACACCGCCCCUCCAGCACAGGUUGUUAGAGAAGAGUUCUGCAGAAACACAGGACUGUCAGCAGAACCUGGGGGAACCCUCUACCCUGUCUAGGGACCUAUACCAAGCCUGGAAUGACUUCUUCUCAUUUGGAGAUGAGGGAAG
rnacentral:lncRNA from 1 species